UAAGGAAUAUUGGUCAAUGGACGCAAGUCUGAACCAGCCAUGCCGCGUGAAGGAUGAAGGUCCUCUGGAUUGUAAACUUCUUUUAUCUGGGACGAAAACGGGAUUUUUAUCUCAAUUGACGGUACCAGAGGAAUAAGCACCGGCUAACUCCGUGCCAGCAGCCGCGGUAAUACGGAGGGUGCGAGCGUUAUCCCGAUUUACUGGGUUUAAAGGAUGCGUAGGUGGGCUUAUAAGUCAGUGGUGAAAUCUCCGAACUUAACUUGGAAACUGCCGUUGAUACUAUAGGUCUUGAAUUAUCUGGAGGUAAGCGGAAUAUGUCAUGUAGCGGUGAAAUGCUUAGAUAUGACAUAGAACACCAAUUGCGAAGGCAUCUUACUACAUAUAAAUUGACGCUGAGGCACGAAAGCGUGGGGAUCAAACA
rnacentral:rRNA from 1 species